AUUGAACGCUGGCGGAAUGCUUUACACAUGCAAGUCGAACGGCAGCACGGGGGCAGCCCUGGUGGCGAGUGGCGAACGGGUGAGUAAUACAUCGGAACGUGCCCGGUCGUGGGGGAUAACGUAGCGAAAGUUACGCUAAUACCGCAUACGAUCUGAGGAUGAAAGCGGGGGACCUUCGGGCCUCGCGCGAUCGGAGCGGCCGAUGUCAGAUUAGGUAGUUGGUGGGGUAAAGGCCUACCAAGCCGGCGAUCUGUAGCUGGUCUGAGAGGACGACCAGCCACACUGGGACUGAGACACGGCCCAGACUCCUACGGGAGGCAGCAGUGGGGAAUUUUGGACAAUGGGCGCAAGCCUGAUCCAGCCAUUCCGCGUGCAGGACGAAGGCCUUCGGGUUGUAAACUGCUUUUGUACGGAACGAAAAGGCUCUGGCUAAUACCUGGGGCUCAUGACGGUACCGUAAGAAUAAGCACCGGCUAACUACGUG
rnacentral:rRNA from 1 species